rnacentral:sRNA from 1 species
CGUCGAGGUUGAGGCAUCGAGGACUCUGCUAAAGGGUACCCUCAAACUCCUCAAUCUUAUCUCUUCAAUCUUCAUGUUGUUUUGGUAUGCAAUACCUCAAAUCUACACACGAUAUCGGUUGGGGGAAGGACGGUAGCCAUCCAUUUCUCCAUGCUCCUAAGGUUGAGUCGGUUAAGUCUGAAUGACUGUCUUCUGGAUAAAUGAAAGGUCACAAAUAAAGGUUGGAAACCAUGCCUAUGCAUCAUAGGAGGCUUGCCAAGCUAAAGAGAGCAAAGGAGGCAAAGAAGGGAAGAAUUUAGGCUUUUUCCGGAUUAGAACCAUUACAUUCCGGAUUGGAAAUGAAUAGGAAAAUGGCUUCCAAAAUGAAGACUUAGCCCAGCCACCUACUGCUCACGCCCAGCCAAAAUGCACCAGAAUUCAGCUUUUGAAAAAUGCAGUUUUUAAUGUUUUUGGAAUGGAACUUGCAGCCCAAGCUGAGUAGCGUCUUAGAUACUCUUCUUUAGUGAUCUUAGAAGCUUACAAAGUCAAACUUAGGCUCUCU